rnacentral:rRNA from 1 species
ACAACAGGUGGAGCCUGCGGUUUAAUCGGACUCAACGCCGGGAAACUCACCAGAUAAGACAGCUGAAUGAUAGUCGGGCUGAAGACUCUACUUGACUAGCUGAGAGGAGGUGCAUGGCCGUCGUCAGUUCGUACUGUGAAGCAUCCUGUUAAGUCAGGCAACGAGCGAGACCCACGCCAACAGUUGCCAGCUCGUCCUCCGGGAUGGUGGGGACACUGUUGGGACCGCCUCUGUUAAAGAGGAGGAAGGAAUGGGCAACGGUAGGUCAGCAUGCCCCGAAUUAUCUGGGCUACACGCGGGCUACAAUGGGUGGGACAAUGGGUAUCGACACCGAAAGGUGAAGGCAAUCUCCUAAACCCAUCCGUAGUUCGGAUUGUGGGCUGCAACUCGCCCACAUGAAGCUGGAAUCUGUAGUAAUCGUGUCUCAAAAUGGCACGGUGAAUAUGUCCCUGCUCCUU